UACGGAGGGUGCAAGCGUUAAUCGGAAUUACUGGGCGUAAAGCGCACGUAGGUGGUUUUCUAAGUCAGCUGUGAAAUCCCCGGGCUCAACCCGGGAACUGCGUCCGAUACUGGAAGGCUUGAAUCCGGGAGAGGGAUGCGGAAUUCCAGGUGUAGCGGUGAAAUGCGUAGAUAUCUGGAGGAACACCGGUGGCGAAGGCGGCAUCCUGGACCGGUAUUGACGCUGAGGCGCGAAAGCCAGGGGAGCAAACGGG
rnacentral:rRNA from 1 species